ensembl:rRNA 5S_rRNA 5S ribosomal RNA
GCCAGCAGCCAUAUCAUCUUGCAACUCACAACUGGCAACCCACUGAAGCUAAGCAGGUGUGAGCCUGGUCAGUACCUGGAUGGAGACCUCCUGGGAAAAACUAAGGUUGCUGCUGGAA